AAGUCGUAACAAGGUCUCCGUAGGUGAACCUGCGGAGGGAUCAUUACUGAGUGAGGGCCUUCGGGCUCGACCUCCAACCCUUUGUGAACACAACUUGUUGCUUCGGGGGCGACCCUGCCGUUCCGACGGCGAGCGCCCCCGGAGGCCUUCAAACACUGCAUCUUUGCGUCGGAGUUUAAGUAAAUUAAACAAAACUUUCAACAACGGAUCUCUUGGUUCUG
rnacentral:misc_RNA from 1 species